rnacentral:rRNA from 1 species
CAGCCGUAAACAAUGUGCGUUGGGUGUGUCGGUAACCACGCGUUACUGAUGCGCCGAAGAGAAAUCGUGAAACGCACCACCUGGGAAGUACGGUCGCAAGGCUGAAACUUAAAGGAAUUGGCGGGGGAGCACCACAACAGGUGGAGCCUGCGGUUUAAUUGGACUCAACGCCGGAAAUCUCACCGGAUAGGACAGACAUAUGAUAGUCGGGCUGAAGACUCUACUUGAUGAUCUGAGAGGAGGUGCAUGGCGUCAGUGACU